GUUAAGACUGUGAAAGUACUAUUUACUCUACAAUGGUGAGGAGUCCUCAUCAAAAUCAAAAAAUCUAAUUUCUUUUACAGGACCCAGAUGCUAUACAGUGGGAAAACCAGCCUGGCAACAUAAGCUCACAAGCUAUCAGAAAGUUGUAUGGCAACCACCUCCGGCGCCAAAUAGAACUGGCAGACAUAGACAUUCAGUACAAGAAGAAAAAGAUAGAAAAUCUUGCACUGGAGUCCGAAAUAAAAAAGAGGACAAUUAGGAAACUGGACCUUGAAAUAAAAAAACUUGAGAGGGAGCUCCAAGAAGAUGACACAGCUCAAAAUAAAAAUUAGCAAUCAGUACAACCAAGUCAUCGUUAUAAGGCACCGGCCUCUUUUGCCCACCUCCCCAGCACCAGGUGUGGCCACUAGCCUAUAUGAAGGCCCAAAAUUGUGUGUUCCUUUCUGCUCUGACAAUGGCAUGCCCAUUCUUGCGAGAUGUGGUGGAUGAAGAAGCACUUGUGCUGAGGAGAGCCUUCUGGCGAGAAAGGGUCUUCAGGGACCGGUUGGACCCACUGGCCUUCCCUGAUGACCAUCUGUAUGAAAGAUACAGGUUUUCUGCAGAUGGCAUCAGGUAUCUAUGCAGACUACUGGGUCCCAGGAUUAAGCACCGCACUGCACGGAGCCAUGCACUGAGUGUGGAGCAAAUGGUUUGUGUGGCCUUGCGCUUUUUUGCUAGUGGAGCCUUCCUGUACUCAGUGGGGGAUGCAGAACAGCUGAACAAGGCCACAAUUUGCCGCACAAUAAGGAGUGCGUGUCUGGCUAUCAAAGCAUUAGCAGAUGUCUUCAUCUCCU